rnacentral:misc_RNA from 1 species
CAGUUGAGUAAAUAAUUAAUAUGAUAUAAAAUAUGAAUAAACAUUACUAAAAAUGAAAUUGGAAAUGAGUAGUGGAUAAAAGAAAAGGAAAAUGAAAUAAAAAGCAAUUUAUGACAUCUUGAUGAUGUCAUUUAAAAGCCAUAACCAAUCACAAUUAAGUAACCAUUUGACUAAUUAAUAAAAGAGAUAAAUAAAGACCAAGGAAGACCAAAAACAAGCAGCCAUCUUCUUCUUCAAAACGUGAUCCUCUCCUCCAUAACCCUCCAUGGAAGUUUUCUUUAAUUACUUCCAUUUUCCCAUGAAUUUGCACUAUAAAACCCUAAGUCCCUUCACUAAAAACUUGUCUCUACCUCUUGGGAAGUGUUUGGCAGCCUAGAAAGGGAAAGAAAGUGAAGAUUAACUUGGGAAAAUUCUGCCCUACAAGAGGUUAGUGCACAUAUACACCUAAAGCUCUUUAUUUCUAUGUUAAAGACUUGAAAUAAGUAAGGAAUUGUAAGUAAAAUGAAUAAAAACUAUGUGUAUGUAUGCCAUCAAUUUUGGCUGCCCUAAGGAAGGAACAAAGGUGGAGUGUUUUUGAUGGUUUUAAUGGACUUA